UCCAGUUUACGUCGUCCUGGCACCGCGGUCGCAUCGCAGUGCCUGCGCAGGAGGGCGCGGGUGUGCGUGGGGAAGCUUCCAGCACGGAGCUCGCCGAAGCGAGCUAUCGGUGCAGUUGCAUCGGCUAUAGUUGGUUACGUUUCUUAGUUUCGCUGGAAACUGUGUAGUUGUAAGGCAAGAAAUGAACCGGCGAUGCUCCGAAACGGACGUGAUCGAGGCACCUCGCAACAACUGACCAUUCCAGAAGAAGAGCUCCUAGAAAUAAGAUGAACAAGACUGGCGGAUAAGAUCCCCAGUAACGGUGAAAUCGACCGGGCGAGAAGUAAAAAAAAAGAAAUCUUCAAUGCAAGGCCGUGGCAACACGGGCUGGAUGCUUGCGCCGCUCUUUGACGACCUGUAGUUGUGCUGAAGAGUUCGUUUUUUUUUUCAGCGAGAUGCCCA